GUUGCGAGAUAUGGAACAAACUUAUUCACAAGCUGAGCCAAAGAAACAUUUCGCAGAAAGCGGCGGAUUCAAACGUUUAUCAACAACGCAUCAUUGAUCCAAAAGCUUAUGCAAGCCGACGUGUUUCUGUCACCGGUCCGGCUCACAUCUAACACAUUAUCAUCAUGUCUUCAUCGUUGUUUAUCCCAUAGCAUGGCGAUCUCGUGGAUUGCAAUAACACGUUCGAAUCCUUUCGCGGCAUGUAGCUUCGCGUCUCAGCAUUGAUGUCAUCACCUCUGCAUCGAUUCCGGAGCCCCAACCAUUGCAUCAAUUCGCAGCAGAGAAGGGAGUUCGUGGAUUGCGUUCGACACUUGAUUCCAUCCAUUACCGUGUGUGCAGACUCAAACAGAAAGAAAUCAAAUUCCAGAGAACUUAUCGGAUUCGACACUUCAACCGCAAACAUGUUGUAAUGUUAUCAGUUUUCCUGCACUGUGAUUGAUUUGGGAAUAUUCGGUUAGUUGGUUAUUUAGUUUUUUUUUUCUGUUAUCUUACUCUGUUUUCUUUUCAGUUUGGCCUGUAACAAAGGAUUGCAGGAUCACUGCCGAUUGUAGGUUCGCAAGCUAGACUGGAGUUUGUAGAAUGGUUAAUGGAUUUGAGGAUGACUUGUUAUUGCAGGGCUGCUUAUUGUGUUGCUUGCAUUGAUCAAGGCUUUCAAGCAUGGCCCUCAUGAAGCUUCCAUGGUAAUGAUCAACAGCAAAGCAAUCCUACUUAUACAUGAAGUUAUUGUUAGGUGGAAUAUGUAUCAUGGAGUAUGAACCAUGAGGAAUGGACGUUAUGAAGUUAGGACUUUACCAGAAGUAUGUUGACUUUGGUCAAAGUUGAUCAAAAAGUCAACUGUUGACCAAAGUCAACUUUGAUCAAUGUUGUACUAUUUUUUUUGGUGAUUUUUUUAUGAAAAAUGAUGAAUUUGAAUGAGCA